GCGCUGGGCUCCGGGCUGUGCGACCUGGGCCUUCGGAGUUCCUGGGCGUCGCGGGUGCCUCGGGGAGGAGGAAGGAAAGAAGGGCCCCCGCGCAGAUAAGGCGGCCGCUCCAGCGCCUAGGGGGCUGCGGGGGCCGGGGAUGGCUCGGCUCCAGCGCGUCACGAGGAUCCUUGGCUCGGAUAAAUGGCAGCCGGCCCAGGCUUUGUUUAAUUUUUAAAAGCAAAUUAUCCAUUGAGCCAUUUUUGGCUGCCUUCUAGAACUCAUACGUCAGGAAAAAAAUGCGGAGCGUGUGGCAAUUAAAAGCUAAUCAAGGGGAAAGAAAACACCAUUGUUGCGAGAGGAGGAACCGGUCGGGAACGCGGCGCUGUGCGUGAAGGCUCGCCCCGUGGCUGAGCAACCCCGCGCGGGUCGCGGAAGCCGCCGCUGCCUGAGGGCGGGCGCCCGUCGGGUCCUGAGGGGUCGCUACCGCUCCAUCCGGAAAAAAAACUCUGAGAAGCCAAGAAGCGUGCUCGCGCCCGAGCGAGCGCACCGCGCACGCACCCCAUGCGCGCAGCCGGGUCUCGUCAGCCCUUCGCUCGCCUGCUCAUGGAGAGAAGAACCAGGACCAGGCGUAGCCAGGGGCCACCCCAGCAAAUGAGUGGCAAUUCAGCCAGGAGCCUGGAGCGAGAGCCGAGAGCCCACACUACAAUUGAUUGAAUGAAUUUCAUAUCCAAGUAUCCCACAAGGACUGCUGAUAUGAAGAAUUCCAUCUAUGAACUAAUUUAUGAAGUAGUCUCAGCUUUACUGUAUUUAGUCUUCUAAAUACACAUGAAGGUAAUGGUAUCUUUCUGUUUCCUCAGAUAUCCUGUUUACUAAAUUUUCAUAAUAGUGUAUUUUCCGAGUAGCUUUGACAAUUUUCUGCAAAUCACUUCAGCAAACAAAGCUAUUAGAAUACUGAACCUCAGACAUGUCCUUAUGUCCCAUAUUUCUUAUUUAUUUAUAGUUCAGAGGCAAAGGAAGAGAAACAGAGACAAACUGAGCUCCCACCUGCUGAUUCAUUUCCCAAAUGCCUGCAAUAGCUUAGGCUGGACCAGGCCAAAGCUGAGAACACAGCCCAAGCUCAAGGGGCAGAGAUUUAUCCAUUUUAACCAUCACCUACUGUCUCCCAGAGCGUGCAUUAGUAGGAACCUGGAAUUUGGAGUAGAGUCAGAAUUCAGACUCAAGCACUCCAAUAUAGGAUCUGUCUGUUGUGUUUAGCCUCUUAACUCCUAGGCCAAACACCUACCCCUUGUUUUGCCAUCUUUGUCUCCUUGUUCUACUUGAGAUUUCCUUAACUUGCCCUUUUACCUAAAAAAAAAAAGAAAAAAAAAAAAAAGGAAAAUUUCAAAACGAUUUAUUUGAAAGGCAGAGUGAAACAGACUGAGAUAUCUUCCAGCUGUUGGUUCAUUCCCCAAAUGGCCUCAAUGGCUAAGGCUAGGCCAGGCUAGAGCCAGGAUCCAAUAAUUCCACCCUACUCUCCUGGCAGGGUCUGAAGUACUUGGGCCAUCUUCCACUGCCUUCCCAGGUGCAUUAGCAGGAAGGUGGAUCAGAAGUGGAGCAGUCAGGAACUGAACCAGCACUCUGAUAUGGGAUGCCAUGACAUUGACAUUGGCUUUCCACCUUUUUUUAAGUUUCUCCCAUAUUUAAAAAUUUGAAGUGCAUUUGACUUUUUUUUUUUUGGACAGGCAGAGUUAGACAGUGAGAGAGAGAAAGAGAGAAAGGUCUUCCUUUUCCGUUGGUUCACCCCCCAAAUGGCCGCUGCUGCCCACACCGGCAUCCCAUAUGAGUGCUGGGUUCUAGUCCCAGUUGUUCCUCUUCCAAUCCAGCUCUCUGCUGUGGCCUGGGAGGGCAGUGGAGAAUUGCCCAAGUGUUUGGGCCCCUGCACCCACAUGGGAGACCAGGAAGAAGCACCUGGCUCCUGGCUCUGGAUCGGUGCAGUGCCGGCUGUAGUGGCCAUUUGGGGAGUGAACCAAUGAAAGGAAGAUCUUUCUCUCUGUUUCUCUCUCUCACUGUCUCUAACUCUACCUGUCAAAUAAAAAAUUAAAAAAAAAUUAAAAAAAAGAAUAAAGCACAUAGAGAUCUGAUGAUCAGAACUCCUGUUAUCUUAGAUGACUGGGGAUGGACAGGGUGGACCUAAUAAUAACUCAAUAAGAAAACAGACUAAUUCUUUUUUCAUUUUAAAGGUUCAUGGCUGUAUAUAUUUAUUCUGCAUAGUAAAAGGAAGAAAUGUUCCCAACUAAUCUUGAUUUUUCAGAGUACCCUCACGGGGCUAGCACUGUGACAAAGCCGGUUAAAGCCCCAGCCUGCAGUGCUGGCAUCCCAUAUGGGCGCGCCAGUUCGAGACCCGGCUGCUCCUCUUCCGAUCCAGCUCUCUGCAAUGGCCUGGGAAAACAGAAGAUGGCCCAAGUCCUUGGGCUCCUGCACCCACGUGGGAGACCUGGAAGAAGCUCCUGGCUCCUGGCUUUGGAUCAGCUCAGCUCUGGCCAUUGUGGUCAUUUGGAGAGUGAACCAGCGGAUGGAAGACUUCUCUCUCUGGCUCUAUCUCUCUCUGUAACUCUGUCUUUCAAAUAAAUAAAAAUAAUUUUUUAAACAAAAGUAAACUCAGAUUAAAAUCAAUUUUAAAAGAAAAUAUUGUGGAAACAUUAGAUAAACUUAAAUUGAAAGACAUCCUGACAAAUUACUGACCUAUGUUAUUGUAAUUUUAAAAAAGAUCUGUUUUUUUCUAUUUGAAAGGCAGAGUGAGAGAGAGGGAGGGAGAGAAAGAAAGAAGUCUUCGAUCCACUAGUUCACUCCUCAAAUGGCAACAAAGCCAUGGCUGGGCCAGGUCAAAGUCAGGAGCCUGGAACUCCAUCCAGGUCUCCCAUGUGAUAACAGGGGCUCAAGUACUUGGGCCAUGAUCCACUGCUUUUCCAGGUACAUUAGCAGUGAGCUGGAUUGGAAAUGGAGCAGCCAGGACUUGAACCAGUGCCCACAUGGGAUGCCAGUGUCAAGGUAGUGGUUUAACCUGGUGAGCCACAAGGCCAUCCCCAACGUAUACUCUUAAAGAAAUGUGAAGAUUAAAGGACACAAAAGGACAGGAAUGUAGCUUAGUGGUUAAGAUACCCACAUCUCCUAUCAGAGUUUCUGGGUUUGAUUCCUUGCUCUGGCUCCUGAUUUCAGCUUCCUGCUGAUGCAGACCCUGCAAGGCAGCAGUGAAGGGACAAGUAAUUGCAUUCUUGCCACACACAGGAAGACCUAUAUUGAGUUCCUGGCUCCUUGCCUCAACCUCAACCCAAGCAUUUGGGAGCUUUCUCUCACUCUCUUGGUCUCUCAAGGAAAAAGAAAAAAAAGAAAGAGAAAAAAAAAAAAAAAAAAAGAGAAACAAAGAAAAAGACAUACAAGGAACCUCAGGAUUUGUUACAGAUUAAAGAGGAUUGGGGUAUCCAUGCAUGGUCUUAGGUAAAUUCUGGACUGAGAAAAAAAUUGCUAGGAAGAGUAUAAUUGGGAUAUGUGAUGAAAUUUGAAUGUGAUCUAUUGAUUAGAUAAAGAAUAUUACAGAAACGCUAAACUUACUGAUUUUGCUAUUUGCAUGUUAGUUAAGUAAGAGUAUUCUAGCUUUUAAGAAAUACACUGAAAUAAUUAGGAAUCAAGGGUCACGAUGUCUUCCAUUUGCUUUCAAAUGGCUCAGGAAGAGAAAUACACAAAGAGAAUAAAAGCAAAGAAACAAAAGGCAAAUAAUUGCUGGGUCUCAACCAAAAAAAAAUGCAACCCCACUAGUACUCUUUGCCAAAACAUUAAAAAGAAACUGUUCAGGGAAAUCCAGCUUUAUAACUACACAAUCAUUAGCACUGCAAAAACUAACUUCUCAGUAAGAACAAAAGGGUCAUGAUCAAGAGCAGGGAUUAUCCAAGACUGCUGUCAUUCUUUUAUUUUCCAGAAUGGUUACUUGCCUACUGCUCACAUGUAGAUGUGCUUCAUUGUAUGUGAAGUGCUGAUACUAACAUGAGCUUAUUGCAAAAGGUGCAAAUACCAUAUAUGUCAGAUGGAAGAUAUGAGAUAUGUAGACACAAGUGAGCCAACAAUCUUUAACAUUUUAAUUCAUUUAUUUAUUUCUAGAGAGAGAGAAUUCAAAAGCACACUCCUCCCCUACUGGCUGGUUCACUCCCUAAAUGUCUGCAACAGCUAGGGCUGGGUCAGACUUUUAGACAGGGGCCAGGAACUCAUUCUGGGUUUCCCAAGUGGGUGGCAGGGACCCAAGAAGUUGAAUCAUCACUUGGUGCCUGCCAGCAUGUGUAUUAGCAGGAAGCUGGAAUUGGGAGCAGAACUGGCACUUAAAACCAGGUACUGGGAUAAAGGAUAUGGGUGACCCAAGCAUAGGUUUUAACUGCAAGUUCAAAUGCCUGACUAUGUCUGUUACUGGAACACUCAUUUACCACAUGCUGUCUAUGGCUAUUUUUCAUAGUUGUGACUGAGGCUAUAUGGCCCACAAAGCUGAAAGCAUUUACUGUAUGGCCUUUUACAGAAAAAGUUAGCUGAUCCUGCCCCUAGAUUAUAGUGAUAAACUCCCAACUAGUCUGAAUUCUUUAGACAGAUUUUCUUUAAACACCCUUGUCAUCAGUACGGUCCUCUUUCAAGAGACUCCACAUUAGGGCUAGCAUUGUGGCAUGGUGGCUUAACCACUACAAUGACAACAUCCCAAAUGAGUUACAGUUCAAGUCCAGGUUGCUCCAUUUCUGAUCCAGCUUCCUGCUAAUGUGCUUGGGAAAGCAGUGAGAGAUGACCCAAGUACUUGAGGCCCUGCCACCCAUAUGGCAGACCUGGAUGGAGUUCCAGGUUCUUGGGUUUGGCCUGGCCCACUCUCUGGCUGUUUGUGGAUAUUUGGGGAAUGAAGCAGCAGACAGAUGGAGGAUCUUUGUCUGCCUUUCAAAUAAAUAAAGUAAACCUUAAAAAAGAAAAAAGAGAAAGACACUCAACUUUUAACUCCUCUAGUAACUAACCCUUUAGCUCUACUGCUGAGAAGGGCAAUAAUCUAGAUUGUUAGUAAUUAGAGAGGACCUUUAGGUUUAAGUCAUUCUCAAAUACAGACUUUCAAACAACCCUCCUGUUUUCAGUCCCACUUUCAGAGGUGCCUUGGGCUCUCAAUUUACAGCGUUCUAGAGGUUCAAGUGCGUACACUGGGUUACCUCUCAGCUCUCCCCACUGUCAGUUUAGGAUUUAACUGUCUUAGUUCUUCUAAAAGAGUUACCAUUUCUUUCUCUAUUUUCCAGUAUUCAAAAUAUAUUGUUCCUGACUUUUCUCCUUGGUCUCAUCAUUCUUAUGGGUCUUUCUUUUUUAAAAGAUUUUUUUUUUUUUUAAUUUGAAAUGCAGAGUUACGGAGAGAGAGGGAGAGACAGAGAGAUCUGGGUCCCUGCACCCAUGUGGGAGACCCAGAAGAAGCUGCUGGCUCCUGACUUCAGACCAGCCCAGGUCAUUUGGGGAAUGAACUAGUAGAUGGAAGAUCGAUCUCUUUCUUUCUCCCUCUCUCUAACUCUGCCUUUCAAAUAAAUAAAUAAAUAAAUAAAUAAAUCUUAAAAAAAUGCUGACCACAGAUCUGAAUUUUUAAAACCAGACAUAUUCUAUACAAGACUAUAAAAGUGGCCGGUGCCGCGACUCACUUUGCUAAUCCUCCGCCUGCG